rnacentral:rRNA from 1 species
CCUACGGGAGGCAGCAGUGGGGAAUAUUGCACAAUGGGGGAAACCCUGAUGCAGCGACGCCGCGUGAGGGAAGAAGUAUCUCGGUACGUAAAGCUCUAUCAGCAGGGAAGAUAAUGACGGUACCUGACUAAGAAGCCCCGGCUAACUACGUGCCAGCAGCCGCGGUAAUACGUAGGGUGCAAGCGUUACUCGGAUUUACUGGGCGUAAAGAGCGCGUAGACGGCAGCACAAGUCUGGAGUGAAAUCCCGGGGCUUAACCCUGGAACUGCUUUGGAAACUGUGCGGCUGGAGUGCAGGAGGGGUAAGUGGAAUUCUUAGUGUAGCGGUGAAAUGCGUAGAGAUUAAGAGGAACAC